UCUUCCAUCACUGCAGCCCCUUUGCCUACACCUGUAACACAUAAUGUUGCAUAAAUUAAUGACAACAAAGCAAAUGAUGUUAAAUUUAAAAAAUACAGCUGCAGCAGUAACAACAACACAACAAUAGGGCAUAAGUCACAUACACAAAGUAUUGAAAUUCUUUAAGCAUGUUUGCCUUUUCUGGUACAUUGCAAACGUCGUAUUUCCUAAAGCAUUGUAAUGUCAACAAUUACGCGAUUGGGUCGGCCGUAAUCCCAUUGUUUACGAUCGGUGACAAGUCUCCGCAGGUAUAAGACUGAGUCGCAUCUCCUGGUCUAUGCGUAAAAUGGGUCACGUGGGUAAACAAACACAGCCAAAUUUUAAGACGCAUCGUCGCAUUAUCGAGAGGAGGAGGUCACUCUACCUAACAACUGAUUCAUUAUAUGUGUAACGCGCACAGAGCGAACACGGAUUCACGAUAACCGUCAACUACACCAUUUCUACGGUGCUGGAAGAGUGGGAAUCGGUGAAUUAGUCCCGAUAAAACCACCGACGACGCACUGAUAAGGAUGUAAGUAUUUUCCUCAUCCGCUGUCCACCCGUCGAACGUUCAGGAUAAAGUAGAAUUGUCAGCCAAUGACGUCAGGCUAAGGUUAUGGCGGACGUAUUGGAGCGAGCGCGUUCGUGCUCCGUAUCGGGGAUGAUCAAGGCUGCGCGUCAUUGUGGUGUUCUUAAGAGGGCGUGUUUUAAGGUUAGCUGUCACGUAAUAAAUAAUUAAUCGAUCGACUGGAGCAUGGUACUUUUAGAUUAGGCAAUCGGCAACGUCUUCGAAUGCGCAUGCACAGAAAUCGGUCUCGAAACUCUUUUCUUUGAGCGACAACUUACAUCUUAAGGAAACUUAAAAUAAGUCAUGCGUUGUUUUGAAGCAUGCAUAAUGCGAUAACCACGAUAAGAGCUUUUAACCGCACAAUGAUCGGCCAACGAAUCGAUAUGUCAUGUCAAAAACAUUGCAGAUAUGUGCGAUCAAGGCAAAGUAUAAUCGAUUCAAAUUUUCCAUUGAUCGAUGAAAUCAGUCGAGAGAGAACAUUGUCGUCUUGUGAUUCGAUUGAAUGCCUCUGUUUAUCGCGAUAAAUCGUAAACGUACAGUAGGUUAGGUCUUAUCGAGAACAUGGUGUAAGAAUACUUUACUCGCCCACUGUCAGGUAAUUAUUUAACCAUCUUUGCAUUGUCGCGGUAACGGUGUUGUAACUCAUGUACUAUCAUUUAUAGUUAGUAGAUGAAAGAGUGAUAAAUUGCUACGAUGAUAGGUAGUAGGUUUUUGUAGAUGUUGUGACCCAGAAAAGAUGAGAAAAGAGCGUAGUUUCAACGUAAACCAACAACCGUACCUCGAAUAAUUCGUUUCCACCGCAUCGCCACGGUCGCUGGACUCUGGUUCUACGGAAAAUAUUUACACCAGAUAAAUGUUAACCGAAAACACUGAUGCCCACGACCAUAUGGCGACAACCCGCCCGUUACUCAUAGUAUAGUAUAUGUAGUAUGUUAGAAAUUCAUUUUAACUGCGCCUACGGAGCGCACGGUUUGCUUGGCGCGGCGCAUGAGCAUUACCGAUCAAGCGCAAAGGGUGGGCAAAAGGAAAUCGAAUACAAUGUUUGAAUUAAGGUUACAAUGCGAUUCAUUGAAAAGAUAUUUAGUCGCUAAAAUUCAAAGACAGUAUUCAAUCUACCUGUGAAUAUCAAAAAACGUAUCUAAACAAGCUACGAAAUUUUGUUUACGGCAUAUCUGAAUUUUUUAGUAAUGUAUUAGAAAUUUUGGUGGGACUGUCGUUUGCACAAGGAAUUUUAAAUUUUCGCGGAAUAAAACACUAAAAGAAAGAGGACUUUUGACAUCGUUUAUUCAACGUCUUGUUGCAAGCUUCGAUUAAUUUUAAUUCCGAAGAAAGUCAACGUGACUCGCAUUACAAAUGACAAUUCGACGCUGGAGGAAGCUGCCGCAUGUUCGAUGGUUCCAAACUGUUAAUCGAUCGAUUGAUUGGCAAUAAAACAGUAAUAUGAAAUAAAAUGCAGAAGCAGUUGAAAGCAAGAGAUUUUCAAUCGUUUAAAGACGAAAAUAAAAGAGUGAAUGAGUUGUCUCGUAGUUCGCAGUCAACAGGUUAGCGAAUUCGGUUUUUUCACCUUGGUAGAAAAAUGAUUCUUGUUGGUUAGUUCUCUGGCAGUGUCGAGGGCACGAGUUAAUUUUAGCGAGGCGUUGAACGAGCUACGAGGGAAGGCGGGGGAAUGAAAUUGAGGAGCCGAAAUUCGCAAGCCGACGAAAAUUUUACGCGUGCGAAAUAUAAUCCGGGAAUACUUUUGCCAGGGGAAACGGUUCGUUUCGUUGGCUCGUGUUUAUGUUUCGCGAUUUUCUGGUGAGGGAGCUUGUCCGAGCUUACAUUUUGAAAGCAAGACAUAUAUGCUUUUGUACGACGCACAUAUAGCCAUCCCGCUUUGCCAGAUAGCAAUCGUGCGAAUAUUUAAAAGCAGUGACACUGAGAGGAAGAGAUAGAGAGAGAGAGAGAGAGAGAGCGCAGAAGAAGCAGCAGCGUGGCAAAAGCCUCUGGAAAUGGUGUAGAAGACUCCCACAGAGUUUGCUACUGGAAAUAGUAUGAUGCGACGCCAUUUCUCACGCAAGGCUGUGGGAGAGAAGUUUUUUAACUUUGGGUUAACCGACUCUUUUCGUCCCUAAACGAGAAGGAAACGGCUGACACAUUCUUAGGAAACCUGAAGUGUUCCACCACUUGGAAUGAAACGAGAAAGAUACCUUUCUUUGUAAAUAGUCUCGAUGACCAAUUAUCUAGUAACUAAUUUUCCAUGAGAGCUUCGUAACAAAACUGUUCUCCGUUAAGACAUUUGAUCGAUGAUCUCGUGCUCGCGAUACGCCAAUGCUUGCUGGUAAAUUAACACCACUGGAUGAGGAUAAGUGUGAUGUAAUGCGAGCAUCGCGAACACGUAGAAGUGACACAGCCGGGCUUAAACGGUUACAGCUGAACUUGAACGUCGACGAUGUUGUCGUUUCUAUGUCAGUAGUGGUGGAUGCGUGGGAGUGAUUGCACACACAGCAACAAGUCAAGGACUCACGACUGAUGUUGUCCCGAGGACAUUGGAAAACAUAAGACGCAGAACCCUUGGAAGAAGAUCCAAUAAAAAUUAGAUUAACCUGGGAUCAUAUGCUUUUUCAUCUUAAAGCGUUAAUCGGACAGAUGCUACCGGAUAUCAGCCGACUUACGACCUUGUGUUCCAAGUUAGAGAUUAGUUUGCCAUGCUACGAUAAUGAUGUCAAUGCUCUUACGAUUGUACAGGAAACAGUUGCAUCUUUGACCGGUCUUCCUCCGAUAUUUAGUUUCCUGUCCCUUCCGUUUGCGAUAAAAGAUCGGCGGUCUCGGCGGCGAUUGCAAUGGCGGGCUCACCCGGCCUACAGAAAAUUCGGCUAUUUUCAUGAUGAUGCACAGCAGCAGCACUAUCAUCAUUUGUCAAUGUUUAAUAAUUUCGUUAUCCGGUCGUGUUACAACAUAGUAACGCUUUCACGAUUGGAUAACGAUCAAUAGUUAUUCUCACUGUUAUCGUGUCCGAUUAACAAUCACCGCACAGUUCGUAAAAUCAGCGAACAGAAAACAAAGAGUAACAGUACAAAAGACGAGAAGGCAGAGUUGCCUCUGUUUACCAAUCGUCCGGUCGCGAAGACAACGAAUCUCGCUGGUCCAUCGUUUGAGAUUGUUCACUUUUCAUUAUUCCAGCCACGGCGGUGUACAUUUACCACUCGAAAGAGUUACAUCACGGACUCGCAAGUGUUUCUCGCUGCACUCGACACGUCGUCUUUGCCCGGCACGCUCUCCAACAUGAAAGAUGCGUUGCACCUUUGACGAAUAGAAACACACCGGCGGAACCACUGUCGAUUUACUCCUCUGCGAGCCAGCCGAUGACACCUUUCAAAAGAUCCCUUUGUUUACCGGACAAGGCACGAAGGCAGCGGUGCAGCUCGCACACGGCUUACGCCUCCAAUAGCGAGGCCCACCGUUGCGACUGCACCCAUCUCGUUGCUUUUUACCGACCGGAGGACCGUCCUGUGUUUUCUAGGUCCACAGAACUAUGUUUUUAGCCCUUUAACCCAAGGACUUCGAUGCAGCGAGUUCGUCGAACCCACUCAGCCCGAAAUCCUUAACACUUUAUCUGUCGGCAAUGAUUUAUUAAUGGUCUUUGAAAAAUUUACACGCGGUUAAAAGGGGGAAGACUGCAGAAUAUCUUCCCUCUUGGAUACGAGUUUGCCGUUUCGCAACAAGAUAACAAGAACAUUUUGCGCAAUUGUAUCGAAGAUUUCGGACUUGGACGUUAUAAUCUGCAAACGCUCUGCAAAUCGGAGAUUGUUAAACCGACAUCAACGAGACGAGCUUUAUCGAGAAUGAUUCAGAUAUUACCCGGAAGUAGUGAUAGGAAGUGUCGGUUACAAUCUGUUAGGAAACAAUGUCGAAACAUGUUUUUCGGUGUCGAGCUAUACGACGAAUAGUAAUAAUAGUUGUUACGUCAGCAGACGCGUUCAACCGCCUAAAUUGCAACAAGUGGCGAGGCAAUUGUUUCGAGUUAAUCGAACGUUAAGAUAACGGGGGAUAUUCGACCGAGCGAUUAAUACGUUCGAGUACGGGCGGAGACGAUAAAAACUGUCGGAACGUUGAGUCACACGUUCUAUAAUUGCGUUAAUCGGGUCUGCGGAUGAUUUCGCGAAACUCUAUAUUUAUCGCGGAUGAGAACAGCAGACUGUAUAAAAUAUUCCGCGUAAGUUUCACUUUCCUAGAAAGAAAAGUCGUGUGCGAAAAGGAAGAAUGCAAUUGACCGAUGAUGGUGAAUCGUUAACGACGAGUAUAUCGGUAAGCUCGUGCGAUUUAUUUCGGCCGUGCCGGCGGUAAACAAUACUUCAGGGGCACUCAUUAGAGUAAGUACGCGGCCGCCGCUGCGAUAGAGGAUGUGCGAGGCGUAACGACUCGUUGAAUCGGAAUUAAUUUCCCCUGGCCGGUAAAUGAACGUCGACCUAUGAUCGAAUGUAUAUCGAGUGGCAUUCAAAAAACGGGACAAACAUCACUCCCCUCUUCCUCGAUGCAUACGUUGCCGCGCGUCGGGGACACGCGAUGCAAUUGGAUCGAUCGGUGGUGAAAGAGAGAGGGCGAACCUGUAUGCAGCGGUUCCUCACAAAGGAGAGACCUUACGUCUACAGAGAACACACAGAGUAACGCACGAAAACACAAAGAAAAAUCGCAGUCCAGCACUGGCUGCAUCGAACAUGAACGAAAACUGGUCACUGUCCAAUCGGUUGGUUCAGCGAACGAUUCCACCGACUUAUCGCGACGAUCCCAUCGAGAGCCAUUCGUACAGGAACACACACUUGACACACCACGAUCGCUAGAAUGCACUGUGGCAAAGUGGUUUCCGAUGAGUUAAUCCGCUCCGAUGAUUACGAGCACACCGCGUUCGACCGAUGAUAGCGGACACACGCGCAACUGAAUUUUUCCUUCGCGUUUAUUUUGGCGGAAUCGCUUUCUGGACCGCAGUCUGACUCAGACUGCCCUAACAGCACGCGUCCCGCGCGGGAGAGCGUUUGCACACGGCACGACACGACGCGGAGUUUAAUCUCUAUUAAUAAAUACCCGCUCCGCCUCGGCCGGAAUAGAGAGCAGCUCUAUUCCGCUCGCUCAUUCAACGCAUAUAACGCGCUCGUGUUUCGUAUCGAGGGCCCUUUCCACCCUCUGACCCUUUCUCGAAUCUCUCGGGUUGAUUUUGACCCGGGCUCUGCUAGCCUCUCCGCGGAUACUGCCGGAGCUGGGUGAAUAUUUGACGCGCUGCACAAUUUGUGCAUCGCGGCGAGGCCUGUCCCUCUCGUGCUAUCACGUUUGAAAUAUUUCGAGGCAUCGAGCAACGUUCGCUCCGAUAAUUAGCCGCUAAUCGUUAGGCACCCCAAGUUUACGAGUUGUUAAGCUUGGGCCGACACGUCUUCUAUCGUCGAGCGAUUUCGAUUUCAUGGCAUCGCGGGGAGAUCACCGUGAACCCUCGCGGAAAGGUUACGGGAUUCGCAAAGUUCUCGGGAAGGUUAUUUUAGCUAAUGAUUGCGUAAUUGCCGGGAAAUCGGUAAAACGGAACGGGAAAUCGAUGCGAGAUCGAUUCGGUUGAUGGACGCUGUUGUGGCGGACAGAUAGAAAGAAGAAGCGGGACGCGCCGAAAUAAUCCCGUUUGCCACAAUCGCAUUAUAAGGUUCCCUUUGCGCCUAGUGUACUCGAAAUGACUUCGGACAAAGGAUAUUCCGGGGAACCACAAUGCGGUUAGCCGAACAAUGCGGAUUAGCAAUGUGGAUCGUUGAAAAAUCAACGAUCCUCGACAACAUCGAACGAUUUUCGCGUUGCUAAACUUUGAUGCCUUGAAGCCGAUGUAACGUCGAUUCCGAGAAUCUCGGUGAUUCCUUUAAUGAAUCUCGGUGGGUUCGUUUAAUUGCAACGUGAGAUGCACAAGCGUAUGUCCGCAGUCUAUCGACUACUCGUGCGCAGGGUGAAAAACAAGCUUGAAUACCAUUAAAAUCGAAUGCAACGGAGGAGCAUGUUGAAGAGGUUGCGCAGCAUGAAAAUAAAAAUGUUCUAGCUACAAAGCGCUACGAAAAAUAGCUUGCUUCGACUGUUUGAAGAUUGAUCUGCAUUGUAAAUAGGUCGUGAGAAGUAUAAAUCACGGGAACGUAUGCGCAUCCGAACUCACCAACGUGGUCUCCGUUGCCGCAGACAAUAUCUGUCGCCAAGGCCUGAAAAAUAUUAUCGACUUAUUAAUUAGCCUACCCGUACAACGUUCCAGAAUAUUUUCUUGUCCGAACCGAAAUAUAUUGGGAACAUUGCGACGGUAUUUCACAAUGGAUUUCGAUAAUCACCGGACGAUAACUUUCUUUCUUUUCGGUUUUAGGUACUUAGAGAAGAAAUCCACAUUCUCGAGCUGUUUCGUGUUUCACGCGUUAUAAAACGCGACGCUAUUUUUAAACCUUCACAAGUGCAACGAAGGAGUGUACUCCCGAAAGACUCUCCGGUGCAUUUCCCUUUGCCGAGGACCAAGACGAGUAUCGUUAAAGGAAAAAUACUUCUCGUUCCUGUGCCGUGCGGGCGAGGGCACAAUCAUUUUGGAAUUCGAUACGGAAUGAACGCAAGGAACGACUGGAACCCGAGUCAUCGAGCUCUCCGACCCGUUAUUGCGAUUGCUCCGAUCAAUUUACGAAUUUCGCGUGGCUGAUCUUUCAUGGAAUCGUUCCCUUAACUCUUUCCUGAAGUUUCUUUAACUCGUAGCAAUUUAUUUUACUGAUUUAAUCUCGGUUGUAUACAACAGCAACUUUAGUCAUUUAUUUUCUAUUCCAGUCAGUUGCCAGCAAAUUAGAGACAACGUUUCUGGGACCAAAGAUAAGGACUACUCGGAACCGCAAAAGGUUAAGGAAUCGCAGUAACCGAGAUAAGGCUUGUCCGGAUACGUGGGGUUUGCAAUUCCGUAGCAUGUUUCUUUCUGCGUCCCACAUGGCUUUGUUUCGUUCUCUCCUUUCUGGACGGUGCAUAAAAAAAUCCGAGAGAGAGAGAGAGAGAGAAAGAGAGAAUAAAGGCAUCGGAAUCGUAAUUAACUCACUGAACAACAACCGGCAGGCGAUUCUCGGCUAACAAAACCCGAAGAGUGCUUGGGGGAACAAGGUCACCCGAUCCCAACGAGAGAUCACGUCUGGAAAAGACAGAGAGAUAGAGAGAGGAGAGCUAUAGGAAUCGUUUCUUGGUACACUUUAUCUUCCGCUUGCCGUGGUCCGAGGAAUCGAUCGGAGAUAGCAGACCAGCGAAGAUGAUUGACCAACGCAGCCAGUGAAGAUGAUUAUUCCUAAGGAGACCCAAGGACUACGCUGUUUUAUCGAGACCAACGAGACCGAAGGAACGAUCGUACAGCAGAGCUUUCUGGAUUAUAAGUAACCUUCGCAUCGAUUUUAUCCACGGCACGGAGGUCAAUGACGUAUUAGGUCCUACGAUUGCGACUAUGGGGGCAAUAUACUAACAGCAAUCCUCUUUUCAGGUUCCAGUCGGAGAGAGAGAGAGUUUGUCAUGUUGGGACGAGAGGAACGCCCACGCGAGCUAGAAAACGAGUCGAUAGUCGGAGGCAGCAAGUACUCACGUUCAUGGUGAAGGGACAGCUGACAGUCGAUCCACGCAACACACUCGACACUGCCACCAAUUAUGACAUCGCGGGAUGAAUAUCGCAGACGUGGAAUGCAUAUUCUGAGUCACUCCGUCGAAGAGAAAGCCAGCCCCUCCCUGACUGCAACACACAACCCCUGUAUGCUAGACGCGCAUGCUCUUCACUGAACGCGGCUCGCAGCACGACGAAAGGGGAUGAUAUUCCCCUUCGGCCCUUGUCUAAGCUGACUCGGUUUCCCUUAGGGCGCUGGACACCCGAAAUUUCUUGUUGAAAGUGGGAACCGCUAUGGAAAUAAUUCUAUACUGUUGCGAGGGCUUUAGAAACAAUGACCAAGAUUCAAUGGAGACACAAUAAUGGCGGCAUGGCUGGUCACGUGACAGAGCGCGCGCAAUACUGCUUUCGGCGCGCCAAAUAUUUGA